UGCAGCAGAGCCUGGGCAGCCUCACACUUGCCAGAAAUGCAAGUGGAAUGGGCAUGCCGGCAGUUGUCACUUUGACAUGCUCUUGUAUCUGGCAUCUGGCAAUGUGAGUGGACGUAUAUGUGACACAUGUUAGCACAACACAGCUGAGCUCCGCUGUGAACUCUGCCAGCUCUUCUACCGAGAUCUCAGGGAGGAUCCCCGUUCCCUUCACUCUUGCAAACCCUGUGACUGUGACCCUGUAAGGACCCUGGGAGAUGGUUUGUGUGAUGCCCAGAUGAGACCUGUGGCCUCUUCUCUAGGCAGUGUCGCUGCAAAUUUCAUGUCUGGCGCCAGUGCUGUGACUUCUGCCAGCCUGAUCACUCUGGCCUCAGCCCUACCCACCCAAGAGGUUGUCAGUUGCCUGUCACUGAAAACGCUUUGUCUCUGGAUGGGACUGUAGCAGUUGUCUGGUGUUCUGCUGGGGAGGGCCUCUGCCUGUGCCACCCUCCGUGGCUGCCACUGCCACGAACUCUAAUCUGGGCACUUCUGUGAUGCUCUUGACCAAGCCACUGCUGAAGCUGAACUUUGCCAGGGCCUUCAGCCAGCUGACCCCCAG